CAUGAAGCUGGAAUCGCUAGUAAUCGCGGAUCAGAAUGCCGCGGUGAAUACGUUCCCGGGUCUUGUACACACCGCCCGUCACACCAUGGGAGUCGGAAAUGCCCGAAGUCUGUGACCUAACCGUAAGGAAGGAGCAGCCGAAGGCAGGUCGGAUGACUGGGGUGAAGUCGUAACAAGGUAGC
rnacentral:rRNA from 1 species